GCAGCAGUAGCUCAGGUGGUAGAGCAGGUCGUCUGGCAACCGGAAGAUUGCUGGUUCGAUCCCUGGUUCCUCCUUGCUA